GUGCCUGUAGCUCAGCGGCUAGAGCACCAGCCACAUACACUGGAACUGGCAGGUUCAAACCCAGCCCAGGCCCA
rfam:Otolemur garnettii contig084051, whole genome shotgun sequence.